UACAGAGGUCUCAACCGUUGUUCGGAUUCAUUGGGCGUAAAGGGUGCGUAGGCGGUCGUGCAAGUCGGAUGUGAAAUCUCAGGGCUCAACCCUGAAACUGCAUUCGAUACUGCGCGGCUAGAGUGCUGGAGGGGAGACUGGAAUUUACGGUGUAGCAGUGAAAUGCGUAGAUAUCAGGAGGAACACCAAUGGCGAAGGCGGCUUUCUGGACAGUAACUGACGCUGAGGCGCGAAAGCCGGGGGAGCAAACAGG
rnacentral:rRNA from 1 species